AUUGAACGCUGGCGGCAUGCCUUACACAUGCAAGUCGAACGGCAGCACGGGUGCUUGCACCUGGUGGCGAGUGGCGAACGGGUGAGUAAUACAUCGGAACAUGUCCUGUAGUGGGGGAUAGCCCGGCGAAAGCCGGAUUAAUACCGCAUACGAUCUACGGAUGAAAGCGGGGGACCUUCGGGCCUCGCGCUAUAGGGUUGGCCGAUGGCUGAUUAGCUAGUUGGUGGGGUAAAGGCCUACCAAGGCGACGAUCAGUAGCUGGUCUGAGAGGACGACCAGCCACACUGGGACUGAGACACGGCCCAGACUCCUACGGGAGGCAGCAGUGGGGAAUUUUGGACAAUGGGCGAAAGCCUGAUCCAGCAAUGCCGCGUGUGUGAAGAAGGCCUUCGGGUUGUAAAGCACUUUUGUCGGAAAGAAAUCCUUGGCCCUAAUACGGUCGGGGGAUGACGGUACCGGAAGAAUAAGCACCGGCUAACUACGUG
rnacentral:rRNA from 1 species